rnacentral:rRNA from 1 species
GAUGAACGCUGGCGGCGUGCCUAAUACAUGCAAGUCGAGCGAACAGACGAGGAGCUUGCUCCUCUGACGUUAGCGGCGGACGGGUGAGUAACACGUGUAUAACCUACCUAUAAUACUUGGAUAACUUCGGGAAACCGGAGCUAAUACCGGAUAAUAUAUUGAACCGCAUUGUUCAAUAGUGAAAGACGGUUUUGCUGUCACUUAUAGAUGUAUCCGCGCCGCAUUAGCUAGUUGGUAAGGUAACGGCUUACCAAGGCAACGAUGCGUAGCCGACCUGAGAGGGUGAUCGGCCACACUGGAACUGAGACACGGUCCAGACUCCUACGGGAGGCAGCAGUAGGGAAUCUUCCGCAAUGGGCGAAAGCUUGACGGAGCAACGCCGCGUGAGUGAUGAAGGUCUUCGGAUCGUAAAACUCUGUUAUUAGGGAAGAACAAAUGUGUAAGUAACUAUGCACGUCUUGACGGUACCUAAUCAGAAAGCCACGGCUAACUACGUG